rnacentral:rRNA from 1 species
AGUGAACGCUGGCGGUAGGCCUAACACAUGCAAGUCGAACGGCAGCACAGUAAUAGCUUGCUAUUACGGGUGGCGAGUGGCGGAUGGGUGGGGAAUACAUCGGAAUCUACUUUUUCGUGGGGGAUAACGUAGGGAAACUUACGCGAAUACCGCAUACGACCUACGGGUGAAAGCAGGGGAGCUUCGGACCUUGCGCGAGUGAAUGAGCCGAUGUCGGAUUAGCUAGUUGGCGGGGUAAAGGCCCACCAAGGCGACGAUCCGUAGCUGGUCUGAGAGGAUGAUCAGCCACACUGGAACUGAGACACGGUCCAGACUCCUACGGGAGGCACAAGUGGGGAAUAUUGGACAAUGGGCGCAAGCCUGCUCCAGCCAUACCGCGUGGGUGCAGAAGGCCUUCGGGUUGUAAAGCCCUUUUGUUGGGAAAGACAAGCAGCAGGUUAAUACCACGCUGUUCUGACGGUACCCAAAGAAUAAGCACCGGCUAACUUCGUG